GUUUUAACCGUUCCGAUCAACUGCAGUCUGCAUCAACACAUCAGUGUCAAACGGGAUUCGGAAGACAUCCCUGCAGCCUGAGGUCCAGGGAACAACCGUGACUUGCUUUUCACAGCCAGAGUUCAUGUCCACACUCGGCAUUCAGGAGCUCUGCUUGUCUUUACAGCUAUAAGAAGCAAUGAGUUAAGAAGCUGAAGAAACAGAGAGCCUGCAGUCAGUGGAUCAUCAUGUGUGGAUCUCGGGGGCCUGCACUGCAUAAGUGCUCAAGGCCAAACUUAGAAAGCGAUGAUGCUUCCAGGAGACUGCAGGGGGAACUGCAGAGAAGGUUGGGAGUAACAAGCAUGGCUCCUCUGACCUUUGACCCUUGGCUACAGACGUCUAUUACAAAGACAGUAAGAGGAUCUGCAUCCUACUAUUCACAUGAGUAAUAUUUACCAGUGGUCAUCCUGACAGCUCCUCCUUGUGAGGAAUUCAUAGUAGCAUCUGUCUCGCUGUAAAAUCAUCCAUUCAUUGCUGGGAUCAACCACCCACGUGCCAUACAGAGCAAGCCACAUACUAAGAGCUGGAACACAGAUAAGCCCCGUCUUUCCCUGUAGGAGCUCCAAGCUCUGCACAGCUCUCCUUGGUCUGGGGAACACUGGAAUAAGAGAAGCAAGACAGUCUGUGGGGUCUGCUGUGGGCAACUCACUCCACAAGCAGGCUUCCCCUAAAGCCGAUCCUUUGUAAAAAGCUGUGGUGACCAGCUCCACCUCCUAAGAGUCUUGUAAGAGCUCUAGGCACCAGGUGGUGGCUGACUCCAGGUGACUCCAGCCGCCCUCAUAUCAAACACAAAGGCCAACACUGUACCACAGUCCAGCAUCAUGCAUUCUAGACUUUUUCUCACUUGCUAACAAUAAAUGACAAUUAUCCUUUAGUGAAGCAGGAAGCUGAUGCUCAAAUUUUAUGAGGCAAAGGCAGUACUUGUCCCCUGGUCUGACCUCUUGGGAUACACUACCCUUCUGCCUUCAGCUACCCAUCCUGCCCUGUGUCUAGAAGCCCCUUCUUCCUGCAAUAGUGACAUCAGUGUUCCCUGAAGGUUGUUCCCUCACUCAGGCACUGCAUGGAGUUGUUAGAAAGUAAUCCAGGAUGUGCUGCAUGCAGGGGAGUCACCUGCUGAUCUGUUUCCACUAAAAAUCCGUGCUUCAAACUCUUAUCCUUAAUAAAGUGGCCUUUGAAAAUA
rnacentral:sRNA from 1 species